UGACAAAAUUAAGCUUGGAGACCGACAUAAAAGAUUGGACUAUGCUCCUGCCUUAUGCACUGUUUUGUACAAAAAAAUACUCCCUCUGUUUCUUUGUGUAACCUCACCCCCUAUAAAAUUCUCUAUGGUGCCCCUCCUCCAAUAAGGGACCUGACCCCAACUCUAAGACCUAACAAUUCCUUUCACACCCCCUUGCUUGACAGACUUAAAGCUCUUGAAAGAACCCAGCGAUACCUGUAGAAACAGCUGGCCACUGCCUACCAACCUGAGGACGAAAGGACUCCACACCGAUAUCAAGUGAUGUAAAAGACUUUGUCUACGUAAGACAACAUCAAGUGUCAUCCCUAGAACCCCGCUGGAAAGAACCAUACCAGGUGCUACUUAUAACACCUACAGCGGUAAAGACUAUCAAAGCCACAAACAGUCACGGCUGUGUGGGGGAAAAAACGAUUUCUUACUGUAAGUCAUAAGGAUGUAAACAUACAGGGGCUACCUGAUGGAACCCAAACCUCCACCAGUUCUCAGCAUUGCCCCCUUGCUGAAGUAACAGGUAUUGAGGUAUCUCUCCACCCAUUCACUCCUCUCUUCUCCUGUCAGUGCCCACACUGGGUCCCACCAGGUCCUCUUACUAGCUAACCCAAAGUUCAAACCAGCUGAGGAGAGCCCUCAGACCCCUAUCCAAGAUGUAAUGAAAAUGGCCUUUAAAGUUGCUUUGUCAUCACUGAAAACAGGUUACUAAAAAUUUAAAGUCCCUCA